rfam:Rhizophagus irregularis DAOM 181602 strain DAOM 197198 GLOINscaffold_18079_Cont18021, whole genome shotgun sequence.
AUACUUACCUGCCAGGACACGACCGUGAACAUGAAGGCGGACGUGUAAGUGAUGGUCGCUGACAUUGCACAGCGUUGGUAACUGUUGCUUUGAACGCUCUUAAUGAGUGUCUCAACUGGAUAAUUUUUGUUUGUUGGGGUGGUUAUGGUUCGCCGUAAUCGCCCCUA